AUGUGUGCUUGGCGAUCCCUGAAAUUUAGCAGCACGCUUGUGCUAACGACACUCUUACUGUUAUUGUGUGGAUCCGGGGCUGCUCAUUGUUCUGUGGUUCAUAAUAGCACGGACCGACGUGCACUGCUCGAUUUUAAAGAGGCCAUCACAGUGGAUCCGACGGGAGUCUUGCGCUCCUGGAAUGACAGCAUCCACCACUGUAUGUGGCCGGGCGUCAACUGCAGCAGAAGGCACCCAGGGCGCGUUACGGUAAAACUUACGCUAGAUUCAAAUCUCUUGUCUGGACAAUUGCCCCCUCUCAAUCGUCUUAGAAGAUUAGGGGAGCUUUCUCUAGGCACCAACUUGCUGCAGGGGGACUUUGUCGAUGCACUUGCAAACUGUAGCAAACUCAAGUCACUAAACCUCGCUCUUAACAUGCUAGCGGGUUCAAUUCCUGGAAACAUAGGUUUCCUCACCAAUCUAGUACUUAUGGACCUUUCCGGAAAUAAUUUGUCAGGAAACAUUCCCCAAACCUUGAGCAACAUAACUCGUUUAAGAGAAAUGUCAAUUGCAGACAACCUGCUCGUGGGAAGCAUUCUUGAAGAGCUCGAGCAAUUGACAGAUAUAUCGUUGAUGUUCCUUGGUGGAAAUAGCCUAUCGGGUACCAUUCCAGCAACACUAUUAAAUCUAUCCUACAUUCAAAUACUAGACUUGGGUAUCAAUAUGUUAAGCGGAAAACUGCCAUCCGACAUUGGUCAUAUGCUACCUAGCAUCCAAUGGCUUAUCUUGGGUGAAAACAAUCUUGACGGCCACAUCCCAAAUUCAUUUGGCAAUGCUUCAGAGCUAGAACUAGUAGACUGGUCAUCUAAUUCGUUCACUGGACAGAUUCCAAGUUAUUUGGGUAAACUACACAAAUUAUCCCAUCUAAACCUCGGCAGAAACAAACUUGAAGCAAAGAGACAGUCAAAGAUGGCAAUUUUUAAGUGCAUUAAGCCUUACAACAAUAUCCAAUGUAGCAUACCUCUAUGGAUGUCUAACCUGAAGCAACUCAUGGAACUACAGCUUUCAUCGACCAAGCUUACUGGGGAAAUUCCUAAUAAUUUGGACCAAUGUGAUAAUUUGAUAACUAUCCAAAUGGACCAGAACAGGCUAACAGGGGAAAUCCCAACAUCUUUUGGUAAUCUAAUGGCCUUGAACAUGCUUAAUCUUUCUCACAACAAUUUGUCGGGCUCCAUCCCAGAAACUUUAAGUGACUUACAACUCCUCAGUAAGCUGGAUCUUUCUCAGAAUCAUCUGCAUGGGGAAAUUCCAAGAAAUGGAGUUUUCAGAAAUGCCACUUCCAUUUAUCUUGAAGGAAAUUGGGGACUGUGCGGAGGGGUGGCAGACCUCCAAAUGUCGUUAUGUUCUGCUGUUUCUCAUAGACCAGAGACAGAGUACUAUUUGGUCAGAAUAUUGGUUCCAAUACUUGGCUUCAUUUCACUCAUAAUAUGUUGGCUUACAUUAUAA
rnacentral:rRNA from 1 species